GCUAGUGUUGCUAAGUGGUUAGAGCAUUGGCCCACACACCAAAAGGUCACAGGUUUGAUUCCUGGUCAAGGGCA
rnacentral:tRNA from 1 species